CUUGGCCUUGGCGGAAGAGCGCAGGCGGCUGGACUGGGCAGACUUCUGUGUGACCACUCGCCUUGUAAACCAGCCCUACGGCUGGCUUCCAGCCCAGGCAAAAUCGUCCAGCCCAAGGGUGGCGAGGUAAACAACAGCGCCAACAACGCACUGGUUCGAAUACGGCAGCGGAAGGUGGAGGCUGUGGGAGGCAGGACGAGGGGCUCACAACGGAGUCGUCACGCCGACGCCACAGAGGGAAGGCUCCUCCAGUCCUCAGCAUCAUCAGAGCGUCAAGGAGCCCUGCUGAUGACCUGCGCGUCAUGACGCAUAGGUAUGGUCAUCCUUUUGUACGCUUCGGUCAUGUUUGGUUGGUUUCUUGGGGUGUUGACGCGCCCUGCACAUAACGGUGUCGCCGCGCUGCCCAGCCGGCGAGGCGCAGCAUGCUGGCGCCUCGCUAGCCGG